UACAGAGGGGGCAAGCGUUAUUCGGAAUUAUUGGGCGUAAAGGGCGCGUAGGCGGCCUGGCAAGUGGAAGGUGAAAUCCCUCGGCUUAACCGAGGAACUGCCUCCCAAACUGCUUGGCUUGAGACCAGGAGAGGUGAGUGGAAUUCCCAGUGUAGCGGUGAAAUGCGUAGAUAUUGGGAGGAACACCAGUGGCGAAGGCGGCUCACUGGACUGGUACUGACGCUGAGGCGCGAAAGCGUGGGUAGCAAACAGG
rnacentral:rRNA from 1 species